AUCUACACCCUUGGGAGCAGUAUCUUUGUGUUAACAUCUCCUAAGUGUGUAAACAAAAUCACAGGAACCCGUGAUUUCAAGGAAACACGGAGUAGAUGAGUGUAGGAUUUGACGAGAUCGGAUCCCAUUUUGAGGUGUCUUUCUGCCAUAAACCACCUGACGAUCUUGGGAAUGCUACAUGCCAUCCCUAAAGGAAUCUCUGGGUGGAAUAGAAGCUGUCAUGACAAUAGACGCUGGAGAGAAGAUGCAAUCUCCUCAAUGAGAGACCUUGGCAACAGCCAGGCCAGUAAGGAGUGGCUGCUACUGCUACUGUUUCUUAGACUAUUGAUUAAGCUACUUGUAACCAUGGCAAUGAUCUUGUCUUCCUGGAAAGGUUAGCAGGGUAGGAUGGGCAGUCCGCUAUGGUAAAAAAAGAAAUGUUGAAAUGAA